UGAUCUGUAGGCGAUGAAGCUCGCCUUCGACCGCGCCCCCGGCGCUGAUGGCUUCUACCACGGU
rnacentral:ncRNA from 2 species